CUCCGCCAUACGCUCCCCCGCUGUGUGGACCUGCGGCACCCAUUGGCGCAGCACCGCGACCUCAUUGACCCCAUUAACCCCAAUGACCCCAAUGACCCACUGUCCCCAACGACCCCAUUGACCCCAUUGACCCCAUUGACCCCAUUGACCCCAAUGUCCCCAUUGACCCCAAUACCCCCAUUGCCCCCAUUAACCCCAUUCACCCCAUUGCCCCCAUUGACCCCAAUACCCCAUUAACCCCAAUACCCCCAUUCACCCCAUUGACCCCAUUGACCCCAAUGUCCCCAUUGACCCCAAUGGCCCCAUUCACCCCAUUAACCCCACUCACCCCAUUAACCCCAUUGCCCCCAUUAACCCCAUUAACCCCAUUAACCCCAUUCACCCCAUUGCCCCCAUUGACCCCAUUAACCCCAUUCACCCCAUUGACCCCAUGACCCCAAUAACCCUACUGACCCCAAUGACCCCAACAACCCCAUUAGCCCCAAUGACCCCAUAACCCCCACGACCUCCGAUGACCCCAUGACCCCACCGUGACCCCAUGACCCCUGACCUCGUUCCCGAUGAUGUCGACGCGGUGCUGGACCUGGGGCACCCAUUGGCGCAGCACCGCGAACAAUUGUGGGAUGGUGGUUUUGGGGUCGAGCAGAAUCUGCUGACAGGCCGCGUCAGUGGGGUCAAAGAACGUGAAGGCUGACGGGGUCAAAGGGCAAAGGUUAAAGCAUGGAGGUCAACUGGGGUCCGAGUCCCAUUAGCGGGGUCCCAUCCCCCAUUAUUGGGGUCUUAUAUCCCAGUAUUGGGGUCCCAUCCCCCAUUAUUGGGCUCCUAUAUCACAUUAUUGGGGUCCCAUCCCCCAUUAUUGGGGUCCUAUACCCCAUUAUUGGGGUCCCAUCCCNGGGGUCCCAUCCCUAUUAUUGGGGUCCUAUUCCUAAUGCUGGGGUCCCAUCCCUAUUAUUGGGGUCCCAGUGCCUCCUAUUGGGGUCCUAUACCCCAUUAUUGGGGUCCUAUACCCGUUAUUGGGGUCCUAUACCCGUUAUUGGGGUCCUAUACCCCAUUAUUGGGGUCCUAUACCCGUUAUUGGGGUCCUAUACCCUGUUAUUGGGGUCCCAUUCCCAAUGUUGGGGUCCUAUACCCCAUUAUUGGGGUCCCAGUGAUUCCAAUUGGGGACCCAAUGCCCAUUAUUGGGGUCCCAGUGCCUCCAAUUGGGGUCCUAUACCCCAAUAUUGGGGUCCCAGUGCCUCCUAUUGGGGUCCCAGUGCCUCCUAUUGGGGUCCUAUACCCCAUUAUUGGGGUCCCAGUGCCUCCUAUUGGGGUUCCAUUCCCCAUUAUUGGGGUCCCAUUCCCAAUGUUGGGCUCCCAUCCUCCAUUAUUGGGGUCCUAUAUCCCAUUAUUGGGGUCCCCGUGCCUCCAAUUAGGGUCCUAUUCCCUGUUAUUGGGGUCCUAUACCCCAUUAUUGGGGUCCGAUCCACCAUUAUUGGGGUCCUAUAUCCCAUUAUUGGGGUCCAAUACCCCAUUAUUGGGGUCCCUGUGCCUCCUAUUGGGGUCCCAGUGCCCAUUAUUGGGGUCCUAUACCCCAUUAUUGGAGUCCCAUCCACCAUUAUUGGGGUCCUAUACCCCAUUAUUGGGGUCCCAGUGCCCAUUAUUGGGGUCCCAUUCUCAUUAUUGGGGUUCUAUACCCUGUUAUUGGGGUCCCAACCCCCAUUAUUGAGGUCCUAUACCCUGUUAUUGGGGUCCUAUACCCCGUUAUUGGGGUCCCAGUGUCAAUUACUGGGGUCCUAUACACCAUUAUUGGGGUCCCAUCCACAUUAUUGGGGUCCCAUCCACCAUUACUGGGGUCCUAUAUCCCACUAUUGGAGUCCUAUACCCAUUAUUGGGGUCCAAUACCCCAUUAUUGGGGUCCCAUACCCCAUUAUUGGGAUCCCAUCCACCAUUAUUGGGGUCCUAUACCCCAUUAUUGGGAUCCCAUCCACCAUUAUUGGGGUCCUAUAUCCCAUUAUUGGGGUCCCAGUGCCCAUUAUUGGGGUCCCAUUCCUAUUACUGGGGUCCCAGUGCCUCCUAUUGGGGUCCCAUCACCCAUUAUUGGGGUCCCAUCCUCCAUUAUUGGGGUCCUAUACCCCAUUAUUGGGGUCCCAGUGCCUCCUAUUGGGGUCCCAGUGCCCUUUAUUGGGAUCCCAUCCCCCAUUAUUGGGGUCCCAUCCCCCUAUUUAGCCCCCCCCCCUUCAUUUAUGGUCCCCCCCCUCCCCUU
ensembl:lncRNA